GACGAACGCUGGCGGCGUGCUUAACACAUGCAAGUCGAACGAGGUCCAUGAAGUAGCAAUACUUCGGAAGACCUAGUGGCGAACGGGUGCGUAACACGUGAGGAACUUGUCCCGGUCUCUGGGAUAACAGUUGGAAACGACUGCUAAUACCGGAUGACGUCGGAGCGUCGCAUGGCGCGCUGACGAAAGGGUUACCGGAUCGGGAGAGCCUCGCGGCCUAUCAGCUUGUUGGCGGGGUAAUGGCCACCAAGGCAUCGACGGGUAGCUGGUCUGAGAGGAUGAUCAGCCACACUGGGACUGAGACACGGCCCAGACUCCUACGGGAGGCAGCAGUGGGGAAUCUUGCGCAAUGGGCGAAAGCCUGACGCAGCAACGCCGCGUGCGGGAAGAAGGCUCUCGGGUUGUAAACCGCUUUCAGCAGGAACGAAAAUGACGGUACUUGCAGAAGAAGGUGCGGCCAACUACGUGCCAGCCGCCGCCGUAA
rnacentral:rRNA from 1 species